AUUGAACGCUGGCGGCAGGCUUAACACAUGCAAGUCGAACGAGCGGCGGACGUGUGAGUAAUGUCUGGGAAACUGCCUGAUGGAGGGGGCUCACUAAUGAAAACGUUAUCUAAUACCGCAUACCAUCAGAUGUGCACAGAUUGGAAUAGCUAUUAUGUGGGGUAAUGGCUCACCUAGGCGACUAUCUCGACCUGGUCUGCGAGGAUGACCAGCCACACUGGAACUGAGACACGGUCCAUACUCCUACGGUAGGCAGCAGUGGGGAAUAGUGCACCAUGGGUGCAAGCCUGAUGCAGCCAUGCCGCGUGUGUGAAGAAGGCCUUCGGGUUGUAAAGCACGUUAAGUGAGGAGGCGUUACUCGCAGAAGAAGCACCGGCUAACUCCGUGCCAGCAGCCGCGGUAAUUC
rnacentral:rRNA from 1 species